rnacentral:sRNA from 1 species
GUCCUGCAGCAGCUGCGCAGCCGCGGGGACAACGUGUACGUGGUGACCGAGGUGCUGCAGACACAGAAGGAGGUGGAAGUCACACGCACCCACAAGCGGGAGGGCUCGGGCCGGUUUUCCCUGCCCGGAGCCAUGUGCUUGCAGGUGUGUAGCCAGCCCCGGGCCACGCCUGGCCCCCCACAUGGGCAUGCGGCGGCGGGUGACGGAGGCGGCGGGCUGGGCUCCGCCAAGGCCCCUCGGAGCAGCUCCCAGCCCUGCGCUUGGCUGCGGAGCCGAAGUCACCUGGCGGCGGGCCUGCCCCCGGCACCCGGCCCGCACCCGCACCCCACGGCCCGGUGCCAGGGCCCAGCCCCGAGCCCAUCUCCAUGCCUCAGGGUGAGGGCCAGGGCCACCUGAGCCAGAAGAAGACGGUCACCAUCCCCUCAGGCAGCAUCCUCGCAUUCCGGGUGGCCCAGCUGGUUAUUGACUCUGACUUGGGUGAGCUGGAGUUGGGGAUGUCUCGGGCCCAGGCCCUGGCAGAGAAGCAGGGAGGCCUGGGGAGAGCUACCCGCCAGCUUGGGCUGCCGUGGGCCCCUGGCUGAACAACGUCCUGUGGCUGGCAGGUGGCUGAGGUCCUGUGCUCUGCUGUGUGGGUGAUUGGGCAGGGCCUGGGCUGGACAGGGGAGCUCCUAGUAGGGGAGGGGAGGGGAUGCUGGGAUCUAGGUGACAUGCCUGUCCCUGUCUGCUCCCCUCUGGCUGCCAGACGUCCUUCUCUUCCCGGAUAAGAAGCAGAGGACCUUCCAGCCACCCCCGACAGGCCACAAGCGUUCCACGAGCGAAGGUGCCUGGCCGCAGCUGCCCUCUGGUCUCUCCAUGAUGAGGUGCCUCCACAACUUCCUGACAGAUGGGGUCCCUGCGGAGGGGGCGUUCACUGAAGACUUCCAGGGCCUACGGGUAGAGGUGGAGACCAUCUCCAAGGAACUGGAGCGUUUGGACAGAGAGCUGUGCCAGCUGCUGCUGAAGGGCCUGGAGGGGGUGCUGCGGGACCAGCUGGCCCUGCGAGCCUUGGAGGAGGCGGUGAGCGGGGGAGGAUGCCUGGGGCACACAAGGCCUGCCCAGCCAGCCAGGCUCACCUGCCCUUCCCAUGCCCACAGCUGGAGCAGGGCCAGAGCCUUGGGCCGGUGGAGCCCCUGGACGGUCCAGCAGGUGCUGUCCUGGAGUGCCUGGUGUUCUCCUCCGGAGUGCUGGUGCUGGAACUCGCCAUCCCUGUUGUCUACCUGCUGGGGGCACUGACCAUGCUGAGUGAAACGCAGCACAAGCUGCUGGCGGAGGCGCUGGAGUCGCAGACCCUGUUGGGGCCGCUCGAGCUGGUGGGCAGCCUCUUGGAGCAGAGUGCCCCGUGGCAGGAGCGCAGCACCAUGUCCCUGCCCCCCGGGCUCCUGGGGAGCAGCUGGGGCGAAGGGGCACCGGCCUGGGUCUUGCUGGACGAGUGUGGCCUGGAGCUGGGGGAGGACACUCCCCACGUGUGCUGGGAGCCGCAGGCCCAGGGCCGCAUGUGUGCACUCUACGCCUCCCUGGCACUGCUAUCAGGACUGAGCCAGGAGCCCCACUAGCCUGUGCCCGGGCAUGGCCUGGCAGCUCUCCAGCAGGGCAGAGUGUUUGCCCACCAGCUGCUAGCCCUAGGAAGGCCAGGAGCCCAGUAGCCAUGUGGCCCGUCUACCAUGGGGCCCAGGAGUUGGGG